rnacentral:rRNA from 1 species
UACGGAGGAUCCAAGCGUUAUCCGGAUUUAUUGGGUUUAAAGGGUGCGUAGGUGGUUCUUUAAGUCAGGGGUGAAAGACGGUAGCUUAACUAUCGCAGUGCCUUUGAUACUGAAGAACUUGAAUACACUAGAGGUAGGCGGAAUGUGACAAGUAGCGGUGAAAUGCAUAGAUAUGUCACAGAACACCAAUUGCGAAGGCAGCUUACUAUGGUGUCAUUGACACUGAGGCACGAAAGCGUGGGGAUCAAACAGGAUUAGAUACCCUGGUAGUCCACGCCCUAAACGAUGAAUACUCGAUGUUGGCGAUAUACGGUCAGCGUCUAAGCGAAAGCGUUAAGUAUUCCACCUGGGGAGUACGCCCGCAAGGGUGAA